UCAAAACGACUCUCGGCAACGGAUAUCUCGGCUCUCGCAUCGAUGAAGAACGUAGCGAAAUGCGAUACUUGGUGUGAAUUGCAGAAUCCCGUGAACCAUCGAGUCUUUGAACGCAAGUUGCGCCCGAAGCCAUCAGGCCGAGGGCACGCCUGCCUGGGCGUCA
rnacentral:rRNA from 1 species